rnacentral:miRNA from 1 species
UGGAGAUACGGCCCUGUUGGAAU